rnacentral:rRNA from 1 species
CCCUUAGACGUUCUGGGCCGCACGCGCGCUACACUGACACAGGCAACGAGCUUUCCUUUACCGAAAGGUAUGGGUAAUCUUUUGAAACUGUGUCGUGCUGGGGAUAGAUCCUUGCAAUUUUUGAUCUUAAACGAGGAAUUCCUAGUAAGCGCGAGUCAUCAACUCGCGUUGAUUACGUCCCUGCCCUUUGUACACACCGCCCGUCGCUACUACCGAUUGAAUGGCUUAGUGAGGCCUCAGGAUCCGCGCUUAAUGUGUGGAGAAUUUGGACAAACUACGUCAUUUAGAGGAAGUAAAGGUCGUAACA